GCACUCCCGUGAGAAUGCCCUACAGUCCCCCGCCCGGGAACAAGGAGCUGGUAUCAGGCCCAUUAAACUCGGCCCACGACACCUUGCUUAGCCACGCCCCCAAGGGAAUUCAGCAGUGAUAGACAUUAAGCCAUAAGUGAAAACUUGACUUAGUUAAAGCCAAGAGGGCCGGUAAAACUCGUGCCAGCCACCGCGGUUAUACGAGAGGCCCAAGUUGAUAGACCUCGGCGUAAAGAGUGGUUAGGAAAAAACUAAAACUAAAGCCGAACACCUUCAGAACUGUUAUACGUAUUCGAAGGUAAGAAGUUCAACUACGAAAGUGGCUUUAUAGCCUCUGAACCCACGAAAGCUAUGACACAAACUGGGAUUAGAUACCCCACUAUGCUUAGCCUUAAACAUUGGCAG
rnacentral:rRNA from 1 species